UACGGAGGGUCCAAGCGUUAUCCGGAAUCAUUGGGUUUAAAGGGUCCGUAGGCGGUUUUGUAAGUCAGUGGUGAAAACCCAUCGCUCAACGGUGGAACGGCCAUUGAUACUGCAAGACUUGAAUUAUUGGGAAGUAACUAGAAUAUGUAGUGUAGCGGUGAAAUGCUUAGAGAUUACAUGGAAUACCAAUUGCGAAGGCAGGUUACUACCAAUAUAUUGACGCUGAUGGACGAAAGCGUGGGGAGCGAACAGG
rnacentral:rRNA from 1 species